rnacentral:rRNA from 1 species
GAUGAACGCUGGCGGCGUGCCUAAUACAUGCAAGUCGAGCGAACGGACGAGAAGCUUGCUUCUUUGAUGUUAGCGGCGGACGGGUGAGUAACACGUGGAUAACCUACCUAUAAGACUGGGAUAACUUCGGGAAACCGGAGCUAAUACCGGAUAAUAUUUUGAACCGCAUGGUUCAAAAGUGAAAGACGGUCUUGCUGUCACUUAUAGAUGGAUCCGCGCUGCAUUAGCUAGUUGGUAAGGUAACGGCUUACCAAGGCAACGAUGCAUAGCCGACCUGAGAGGGUGAUCGGCCACACUGGUACUGAGACACGGUCCAGACUCCUACGGGAGGCAGCAGUAGGGAAUCUUCCGCAAUGGGCGAAAGCCUGACGGAGCAACGCCGCGUGAGUGAUGAAGGUCUUCGGAUCGUAAAACUCUGUUAUUAGGGAAGAACAUAUGUGUAAGUAACUGUGCACAUCUUGACGGUACCUAAUCAGAAAGCCACGGCUAACUACGUG